UGGGGAAUUUUGGACAAUGGGCGAAAGCCUGAUCCAGCAAUGCCGCGUGUGUGAAGAAGGCCUUCGGGUUGUAAAGCACUUUUGUCCGGAAAGAAAUCCUUGGCUCUAAUACAGUCGGGGGAUGACGGUACCGGAAGAAUAAGCACCGGCUAACUACGUGCCAGCAGCCGCGGUAAUACGUAGGGUGCAAGCGUUAAUCGGAAUUACUGGGCGUAAAGCGUGCGCAGGCGGUUUGCUAAGACCGAUGUGAAAUCCCCGGGCUCAACCUGGGAACUGCAUUGGUGACUGGCAGGCUAGAGUAUGGCAGAGGGGGGUAGAAUUCCACGUGUAGCAGUGAAAUGCGUAGAGAUGUGGAGGAAUACCGAUGGCGAAGGCAGCCACCUGGGCCAAUACUGACGCUCAUGCACGAAAAGCGUGGGGGAGCAAAACAGGAUUAGAUACCCUGGUAGUCCACGCCCUAAAACGAUGUCAACUAGUUGUUGGGGAUUCAUUUCCUUAGUAACGUAGCUAACGCGUGAAGUUGACCGCCUGGGGAGUACGGUCGCAAGAUUAAAACUUAAA
rnacentral:rRNA from 1 species